GACGAACGCUGGCGGCGUGCUUAACACAUGCAAGUCGAACGGAAAGGCCUCUUUCGGGGGGUACUCGAGUGGCGAACGGGUGAGUAACACGUGAGUAACCUGCCCUUGACUUUGGGAUAACUUCAGGAAACUGGGGCUAAUACCGGAUAGGCGCUCCUGCUGCAUGGUGGGGGUUGGAAAGUUUCGGCGGUUGGGGAUGGACUCGCGGCUUAUCAGCUUGUUGGUGGGGUAGUGGCUUACCAAGGCUUUGACGGGUAGCCGGCCUGAGAGGGUGACCGGCCACAUUGGGACUGAGAUACGGCCCAGACUCCUACGGGAGGCAGCAGUGGGGAAUAUUGCACAAUGGGUGGAAGCCUGAUGCAGCAACGCCGUGUGCGGGAUGACGGCCUUCGGGUUGUAAACCGCUUUCGCUCAUGACGAAGCUUUGUGUGACGGUAGUGGGUAAAGAAGCACCAGCUAACUACGUG
rnacentral:rRNA from 1 species